UCCCUGAUACGUCAGAGUUAAAGAAUCUGCCUGCAAUGCAGGAGACCCUGGUUCAAUUCCUGGUUCGGGAA
rnacentral:tRNA from 1 species